rnacentral:rRNA from 1 species
GACGAACGCUGGCGGCGUGCCUAACACAUGCAAGUCGAACGAGUGGCGAACGGGUGAGUAACACGUGACCAACCCGCCCCCCCCACCGGGACAACCUCGGGAAACCGAGGCUAAUACCGGAUAGGGGGGGCCGGGGUCGCGGCCCAUCGGGGAGACGGCGGGGGGAAGGCCCGCCGUGCGGACGACGGGUUGCCGGGCUGCGAGGCCGAUCGGCCACUUUGGGACUUGGACACGGCGCAGACUCCUUCGGGAGGCAGCAGUGGGGAAUAUUGCGCAAUGGGCGAAAGCCUGACGCAGCGACGCCGCGUGCGGGAAGGAGGCCUUCGGGUCGUAAACCGCUUUCAGCAGGGAAGCGGUACCUGCAGAAGAAGCCCCGGCUAACUACGGGCCAGCAGCCGCGGUAAUAC